UUUUGGAGGUGGCAAGACAACUGGCUUUGGCAUGAUUUAUGAUUCCUUGGAUUAUGCAAAGAAAAAUGAACCCAAACAUAGACUUGCACAACAUGGCCUGUAUGAGAAGAAAAAGACAUCGAGAAAACAGUGGAAGGAACGCAAGGACCGAAUGAAGAAAGUCAGGGGAACUGCAAAAGCUAAUGUUGGUGCUGGCAAAAAGAAGUGAGCUGGAGAUUGGACAACAGAAGGAGUAAAGAUGCUUCAGGGACUAUCUGGCGUUUGUGCAGAUUUUUCAUGAGAGGAUUAAUAAACUAAGAACUUUUAUACACAUCUGACUCU